rnacentral:rRNA from 1 species
UACGUAGGGUGCAAGCGUUAAUCGGAAUUAUUGGGCGUAAAGCGCACGUAGGCGGCAUUGCAAGUCGGAUGUGAAAUCCCUCGGCUUAACCAAGGAAGUGCAUCCGAAACUGCAGUGCUUGAGUACUUAAGAGGAUCGCGGAAUUCCCGGUGUAGAGGUGAAAUUCGUAGAUAUCGGGAGGAACACCAGUGGCGAAGGCGGCGAUCUGGGAAGAUACUGACGCUGAGGUGCGAAAGCGUGGGGAGCAAACAGG